AGGAUUAACGCUGGCGGCGUGCCUGACACAUGCAAGUCGAACGAGGCCGCAAGGCCUAGUGGCGCACGGGUGAGUAACACGUGACUAACCUACCUUUUAGUGGGGGAUAACCUAGGGAAACCUGGGCUAAUACCGCAUAACACUUACGAGUCAAAGCAGCAAUGCGCUGAAAGAGGGGGUCGCGGCCGAUUAGCUAGUUGGCGGGGUAAUGGCCCACCAAGGCGAUGAUCGGUAUCCGGCCUGAGAGGGCGCACGGACACACUGGAACUGAAACACGGUCCAGACUCCUACGGGAGGCAGC
rnacentral:rRNA from 1 species